UACGUAGGUAGCAAGCGUUGUCCGGAAUUACUGGGUGUAAAGGGAGCGCAGGCGGGAAGCCAAGUCAGCUGUGAAAACUACGGGCUUAACUUGUAGACUGCAGUUGAAACUGGUUUUCUUGAGUGAAGUAGAGGUUGGCGGAAUUCCGAGUGUAGCGGUGAAAUGCGUAGAUAUAUGGAGGAACACCGGUGGCGAAAGCGGCUCUCUGGCCUAUAACUGACACUGAGGCUCGAAAGCGUGGGGAGCAAACAGG
rnacentral:rRNA from 1 species